UUGAAAUAUAUACUGAUCUAUUUUUUUUUUGUGUAGUUAUAAAAUGUAAUGAAAAUAAUCUAUGUUAUCUUUUUAAUAAUAGUAUUUAAUAAAGAAAUUUGGUUUCAGGUGAUAAUUAAAAAGUACUGUAAAGGAAAGUUGAAAUAAAUGAAAAAAUAAUUGUUUAAAAGUAUAUUUUUGUAAUAGUACCUUGUGUAUCAGGGGGUUUAAAAAUUGAGUUUAUUAUUCUUAAAAAUCCCGAAGUUUAGUGAGCUAGUUUAUAAUAAUAGUUAACGUGGUAUAGUUAUUAUUAAUUGUUUACUAGAAAUGAAAUUUUAUACGUACUAACAAGUAUCUGGUUUUUUAAUAAAUAAAUUCAAUUUAUUUUUUAAAGUAUAACUUUAUUAAAAGAUUAGGUUAGGAAGGAAAAGCUUCUUGUCCUAUAAUAAAUUUAUUAUAAAUGAUUACCACCGAGUAACUUAACUAGACUUAAGAUCAGUCAUGUUUAAAUAUCGUUAUAGAUUAUGUUGCUUCUUAUUUAAUAUUUAAAAUCAUUUUAAUCCAGUUUAUUAAAAAACUUAAUUUAAUAUUUACAUUUAUGGUUAUAAUUAAAUUAUUAGUAUAAUAUCUUGUGUUAGAAAUUAUUACGGGAUAAUAGUCAAAUGUUAUUAAAAUAGUAUUUGUAUUAAGGAACUCGGCAAUCUUUCCUUCUGCCUGUUUAUCAAAAACAUGUCCAUAUGUUGGUUUUAUAUGGUCUGGCCUGCUCACUGAUAUUUAAUUAAAGGGCCGCGGUAUUUUGACCGUGCGAAGGUAGCAUAAUAAUUAGUCUCUUAAUUAGAGGCUUGUAUGAAUGGUCGGACAAGAUGGAAACUGUCUCAGUACUAUAAUUAAAAUUUAAUAUUUAAGUAAAAAAGCUUAAAUGGAAUGGAGGGACGAUAAGACCCUAUAAAGCUUCAUAGUGCUUUUUUUCGUUGUAAAUUGUAUAAUUUUUGUUCUACAAAAAAAAAUCAUUAUUUUACUGGGGCGGUAAAAGUAUGUUUUUGGUCAACUGCUUUUGUUUUUGAGAACAAUUAUAAUUGUAAAUAAGUUGAUCCACUAUUAGUGAUUAUAAGAACAAGUUACUUUAGGGAUAACAGCGUAAUUUUUCUUGAGAGUUCACAUCGAAAGAAAAGUUUGCGACCUCGAUGUUGAAUUAAGGGUUGCCUUAGGGUGUAGCAGUUCUAACGGUAGAUCUGUUCGAUCUUUAAAUCCUUACAUGAUUUGAGUUCAGACCGGCGUAAGCCAGGUUGGUUUCUAUCUUCCAUAAAUAUUUAAUUUGCUUUAGUACGAAAGGAUUUAGUAAAUCAAACAUUUUGUUUUCAAUGAAUAAUAUUAAUUU
rnacentral:rRNA from 1 species